AUUGAACGCUGGCGGCAGGCCUAACACAUGCAAGUCGAGCGAGCGGCGGACGGGUGAGUAAUGUAUGGGGACUGCCCGAUAGAGGGGGAUAACUACUGGAAAGGGUGGCUAAUCACGCAUACUAUCGGAUAACCCAUAGGGGAUUAGCUAGUAGGUGGGGUAUAGGCUCACCUAGGCGACGAUCUCUAGCUGGUCUGAGAGGAUGAUCAGCCACACGGGGAAUGAGACAAGGCCCAGAUUCCUACGGAGGCAGCAGUGGGGAAUAUUGCACAAUGGGCGCAAGCCUGAUGCAGCCAGGCCGCGUGUAUGAAGAAGGCCUUAGGGUUGUAAAGUACUUUCAGCGGGGAGGCGUUACCCGCAGAAGAAGCACCGGCUAACGCCGUGCCAGCAGCCGCGGUAAUAC
rnacentral:rRNA from 1 species